AUGCCACGAAGCUAUUUUUACCGGCCAACGGCUCGCGUUGAAGAAAUACCCCCUUUUCACCGAAAAAUAAGCAGCGUGCAAGACCGAAAUCGUGUGCAGCCCUGGCCAAGCCCUGAUGAAGCUGCACUGGCACGUCCUGGCAGCAGCUCAGAAGUGUCUAGCUGUGUGCUCAGCUGUUUACCCAGCCUCCAGAGCCUGCAGCCAUACAAAAGCAUGGCGUUGCCAACACAAAGGAACACAAAGAGCUGUCCUGUCCUUUCCGCCGGGGCUGUCCGCAGCAGUGAGCGCACACCGUGUCCCCACGGCACGGCUGGAGACUUCCCACCGCCGGGCUGCCGCCGGGCCCGGCAGCUGCUGCUGCAGGUCACGCGGUGGGCUGGUUUCCUCUCCAACUGGCCACCGGCUGAGCCACGGCUCCUGGUGCUUUCUGCUGUAGGCAAGAUAUAAAGGUGAGCUCUGGUCAACUUUUGGGGCCAACACCGUCUUACACACGCUGCAACUGGGGGAUGCAGCUUGGUUAUUAGCUGCUCCAGAUGUCACCUCUCUCUCUCAAAGUCUCCCCUUUUCUGGCCCAAUGCUAGGAAAAAAAAAAAAAAAAAAAAAGCAUGAGGACAAGUAUUAGUGGCCCUAAUUGGCCUUAAUAUGAUCUUAGAUUAUUUGGAUACAAUCUCUGACCAAAGUAGCUGAAUUGUCAGGAAGAUGCAAGCUCCACUGACCAGUCUUCAACUUUUUUGCAGCAUAACUUUUCUGUAGGGAACCUUUUUCAGUGGAGUUGAAGGCUGUGUCCACUCUCCAGUGGGCAUUCAUAAUAUCAUUGCUCCCAUUGUUCACAGAGGGUAUUUUGGCA
rnacentral:lncRNA from 1 species